GUCUUGGGGUUUCACUGCUGUGAGGUCCUCUGCUCUUUCCAUCUUUAGAGUUGGAACUGUCUCCUCACCCAAGAUGGACAUGGCUGAAAUGAGUGGAAACCCACCCAAAGACCAGGUCUGCCCAGGCAAGAAGAUGAUCAGAUGAGGAUGGCAGCCCACUGGGCUUAAGGGAUUGAUUAAAAACUUCUGAAGUGCUAUUUUUUAAAAUAAAGGUUCAUCUGUCCAUGCAGUCCUCUUGGAU
rnacentral:lncRNA from 1 species